rnacentral:rRNA from 1 species
UACAGAGGGUGCAAGCGUUAAUCGGAUUUACUGGGCGUAAAGCGUGUGUAGGUGGCUAUCUAAGUCGAUUGUGAAAGCCCUGGGCUCAACCUGGGAAUUGCAGUCGAUACUGGAAAGCUCGAGUUCGGUAGAGGGUGACGGAAUUCCCGGUGUAGCGGUGAAAUGCGUAGAUAUCGGGAGGAACAUCGAUGGCGAAGGCAAUCACCUGGGCCUGAACUGACACUGUGACACGAAAGCGUGGGUAGCAAACAGG